rnacentral:lncRNA from 1 species
UUUUAAGCUUUUCUCAUGUAUUAUGCGGUUUAUACCGGUAGAAGAAAUCUAAACCAUCGCUCGGACGACUCUCUGCCAAUCGACAUCGGAGGCACCAGCGGCACAAGGAGGCACCGGCGAGAAGAACGCCGUAACAACCUUUUGCUUUCUCUUCUUUUAUAUGCGCAACGUCACUGUAUGUGUAUGUAGAUUGUAGACUUUAAUAAACUGUGGUUUUUCUUUAUGUUUUACAGAAUAUGGCGGACAAGGCUGUGACUAUCCGAACAAGGAAGUUCAUGACAAAUCGUCUCCUCUCCAGGAAACAAUUUGUAUGUUUUGAUUAAAUUUCAAAAUUAUUAUUUUUUAUUUCUAAUUAUCUGUACCAUUUGAUAUUUUCCUUACUUAUUUUUCCGUUAAUUUAUUUUGAAGAUCAUUGAUGUGUUGCAUCCAGGACGUGCCAAUGUUUCUAAGGUUUGAUUUCUCAAUUUAUUCGCAUUAUUCCUUUAAGUGCUAGUUUUAUGCUUUUUCUGCAUAAUUUCCCUUUUUCUUUUCCUUUUUUCUACCUUGGUUGUUUUACGUAAGAUAUGGAAUGAAGUUUAUAUGUCAGUCUCGAGAAGUCCUUAUAUUUUGUACUCGUCUGGGUCCAUGUCUAAUUCCGAAAAGGUUAACUUUAAAAUCAGUGGGUUAUAGCAGUAAAACUAGCUUCUCCUUUGGCCAUUACAUGGUAUGGAAUUAUUGAAGGAAUGUUAAUAAAUCAAUAUAUUUGUUGAUGUUCUUUGUUGAUGAUUUUUAAAGUCCAAUGUAAAGUCUAUGGUUUAUGAAAGUUAUACAGGCUUCCACAAGCCAUAGCAUAAUUUUGAAAAUAUUGUGGGAAAAUGAAUAAAUAAUUAGAUCUGUUGGUGUUCUUUGUUGAUUGUUAUUAGUUACCAUAAGUUUAUGGUUUCCAAAAGCAAAGUUUUGUGAUCGAUUCUUUGUUUUAAAUUUGUGGCAAUUUGAAUUUGGGUUCAGGUACAAAUUCGUGGUCCCUUUUAGUUUUACCUACUUUUGCUAUUAUUGUAGGCUGAGUUGAAGGAGAAAUUGGCAAGGAUGUAUGAAGUGAAAGAUCCAAAUGCCAUAUUUGUUUUUAAGUUCAGGACGCACUUUGGUGGAGGCAAAUCCACUGGUUUUGGCUUGAUCUAUGAUUCUGUUGAGAAUGCAAAAAAAUACGAGCCAAAAUACAGGCUCAUCAGGGUAAUUCCUGUAACUCAUUUAAACUUUCAGUAUUGUUUAUAUUAUACUGGUAAAUGGACAUUUAAGCUAGUGGCAAAUUCAUUAGCAUGGUCGGUUCAACGUCUUUCGGGAUGGUGAAUAUUCAGCUGUUAGUUGUACUAGGAUGACACUUUUCUGAGGUGUAAACGCUAGUAGUUUUUUUUUUUACUUUAUCCUGACACUUGAAGCAUAUUAAGUACAUAGGCUUCUUACAUGGAUCAUUCCUUCAUUAUGUAUAUGGUUAUUACCAUUUUGCUUCAUGCUCUGCCCUGGCAUUGAACGUCUAAAUAAUGAUGGUGAGUUGUUAGUGGUAUGUGACAAACGAUCUUCCUCUUCUUUCAGGAAGAAUUUCCGUUGAAGUUGUAAAAUGGACCUCUUUGUAAUAUGCAUACAUUUCUUUGCUGCCUUUAAUUUCCAUCGGAGGCUAACUUCACAUGCUUAGCCUCCUCAAAUCAGUCAUUUUGCUUGAAUGGUUAUUUUAUUAGUUUAUAGGUUUGUUUCUUUCAUUUCUCAUGCCUCUAAUUUUUUAAAGAUUUUUAUAUUUCUUUUUGGUCAUUUGUGAUUUUUUUAUGCAGAACGGUCUCGAUACCAAGGUUGAGAAGUCCAGGAAGCAACUGAAGGAGAGAAAGAACAGAGCAAAGAAGAUACGUGGUGUGAAGAAGGUAAUAAUUUCCUUUUCUUAAAAAGCGAGUUUCUAGAUACAAUAUCCAAAAAAUUUCCGAAGUGAUUGGUAUAGGUUAAAAUAAUUAUCGAGCAGAUCUUUUCUCCAGCUUAAUCAUUCUCUUUAUCACAUACUUGCCAAAGAUCCCCUUUUACGUACCCCCCAAAAAAUGAUAAUUAUUAUAAAAUAAAUCAAAGGACAUGCCAACAAACCUGUGCACACAUGAUUCUCACACUUGGCUCUCUCAAAAGAUUUUCCCCUUCCAAAAAUUGUAAAGGAUGGUAUUCUUUUAUAUGAUAUGCUCACUAGUAAUAUUAUUGUAUUAUAUUCAUGUCAUUUUCACUUUUGUUUUGCGACUAAUUUCAAUAAUGGACUUGUACAGACUAAAGCUGGAGAUGCUGCUAAGGCUGGGAAGAAGAAAUGAUUUUCUAGGAUAUCCUGUUUUUCGUGUUUGGAAACUGAGUACAGAAAAUUCUCCUUGCAGCACGUUCUUAUGUUGUGUCAUUUUGUCUAGUUAAAUUUAGUUGCCGUUUUCCAUUAGAAAAAAAUGCAUUUUUGUGGAGUUUUUCAAGUCCAAGUAUUGAAUGCUUAACACAUUCGCAGAUAGGAAGGAAGCAAAGCGUUCAGUUUCUUAUCAUGUUAUGAUAUCUUGCAUGCACAGCUAUGUUGAUUCUGUUUCCUGAUUGAAAAACUUUAGACACUUCAUGUUUUACUCGUGCCAGUUUUGUCUUGUUGGUAUUGAUCCUGG